rnacentral:rRNA from 1 species
UCUGGUGGAAUGAGCGGCGGACGGGUGAGUAACACGUGGGCAACCUGCCUGUAAGACUGGGAUAACUUCGGGAAACCGGAGCUAAUACCGGAUAGUAUUUCCUUUCUCCUGAUUGGAAAUGGAAAGACGGUUUCGGCUGUCACUUACAGAUGGGCCCGCGGUGCAUUAGCUAGUUGGUGGGGUAAUGGCCCACCAAGGCGACGAUGCAUAGCCGACCUGAGAGGGUGAUCGGCCACACUGGGACUGAGACACGGCCCAGACUCCUACGGGAGGCAGCAGUAGGGAAUCUUCCGCAAUGGACGAAAGUCUGACGGAGCAACGCCGCGUGAGCGAUGAAGGCCUUCGGGUCGUAAAGCUCUGUUGUUAGGGAAGAACAAGUACGAGAGUAACUGCUCGUACCUUGACGGUACCUAACCAGAAAG